rnacentral:tRNA from 1 species
GCGGGCGUAGUUCAGUUGGUUAGAACGCCGGCCUGUCACGCCGGAGGCCGCGGGUUCAAGUCCCGUCGCUCGCGCCA